rnacentral:lncRNA from 1 species
UUCUUUAUUUUCGCAGGAAGUGCUCCAGUGGAAACACAUCUCAAAUUCCAGGUGUGCAACCAUCUAUUAUUGUUGAUUUUAAGGUAAUUUGCCCAGCAAAGAGUUAUGAAGACUUUAGUUCAUAGAUCUUCUACCUUGAUUUUCUGAUUGAUGGAGCUUGUCCAUACAGUAAUGAGCCAUCUUUAUUUGCUGAACUGUACUGUAAAAUUGGUUUCUACACUCUUUAAUUGGUUUAUGACUUGCUCAUAUAUUCAUGUAGCUAGGUUCCUGCAAAUUUGGUUUAAGAGAUGUCUACGUCUAGCUGGGCUCCAAGAAAGGAGAUUCUUUGUUGUCCUUUUAGGUUUGUUGGCUACCUCGGUUAAGUUUUUGCAUGUGAAUUUUUGUUUGUUCCUAUCCAAUAGAUGCUCAUAUCUAGCUAGAUUCGUAGGAUGUUUUGUUGCCUUUCUUAGUUUGUUUGGUACUUUCUUCUUUCUUUGGCGAUGAUGGGGGCAGAUUUAUCCGGGGUUCUUUUGCUAUUUGUAGAUGAAUCUUUUGUUCGUUUCUCGAUAUAGAUAAACCGAAACUGCUCCUUUUAGGCUAUCUAUGUGUCUGAAGCGCUUAACAUUGAAAUUAGUAUAUGUAGGCAUUUAUGCUACAAUGCUCCCAAUUUUUUCAAUGAUAGCUCUUGCUCCAAAGUGCACUUUCAAAGAGGUGGUGGAGGAAGAUUUCUUCUUUUUGUAUUCUUACUAUUCCACCUCCCCAUUUGAAGCUGCUAUGAAUCCAGGGUUCUUUUUUGUUUACAUUAUAAGCUCUUUUGUCAUACGCUGAUUCUGAUUUUUAUUCAAGUGUAAGCACUUGGAAGGAUGGCUUUAUUUUUCUUCUCAGGUGGGGAAUGCAAUGAUCGGGUGGUCACCUCCCUCAUAACUCAUAAGCAUCAUAUAUGGCAUCAACUUAAAGAACAUCAUACUGUACUGAACUUAUUUAUAUUCGUGUUCAGCCUGACUCAUUUUUGUUUUUUUCCUCAAUCAAGUGGUGCACCAGAGAGUGUUAUUGCUUGGUGUAGUCAGUUAAUUUCUUAGAUAGUUGCAUGCCCUUUCAUGGCUUUCAAAUAGUAUAUGUACUCAUUCACAAUUUCACUUUGUGUUGCCUACUCACAGAUGUCACUGGAAAUGUCACGGUUAUUUCUAAUGCUCACCAUUUUCCUGGCUUUCAUGGGGUCUGAUGUAAAUCAGUAAAUGGCUAUAUGACAAGAUCCGUUUGCCGAAGAAUGUGUUAUUUGGUAUGUCGACAAACUUCCCAGAACUCAGUUUCACUUUUGUAUUACUUCUGCAUCUGCUAAUUUGAUUUCAACCUUGCACGUUCAGUGUUCAGCUCAGAAAAGCUUCUUACAUCGUAAUUUAUUGUCUUCCUUGAUGCCAGACAAUAGAAAAUACUGUCGUUUCUUGUGAUGAUGAACAUUGUAUAGUUGUUUCAGUGGUAUUAAUUGGAUAAUGAUAUUGUUAAAUGUUCAACUGAUUCAAGGGAAUAGCUUCGUUUUUUAGUCUGAAGUUCAGCUUUUUUUUAACCCUAUACUCGCUUUUGAAAGCUGCAUGUUGUCAUCAAAAUGUUAGAUUGGCAUACCAGAGAUUUUAGAAAUAGUUUGCGGGCCACAGUAAAGAUUCUGUUUUUAGCCUGUUGUAGUUUUAUACCUGUGCACCGAUGCUUCCUUAUGAUUCGUAUAUGUUUGUCCAUAUCAGGAACUUUGCAUUCAACUACUUCGGUUAAACUGAUCAGAGUACCAGUUUGGUUUUAAGAGCCUGAAGUGAAUCUUUAAUCUAGACCCCUGCGCAUGAUUAGGUUUGUUUUUGUUUUCAAAAGGCAGAUCCUUGCUACUGAAAAUGUGGUUCAGGACCUUAAAGAUGUUGAUAUGCUGAAGCAAACAAAUAGGUUAUUAAUGUUAAAAAACUGUUGGUGGUGAUAGCAUUACAGAAAAUGCACUGCUGCGACCAUGUGUAGUGUUCAGUAUUGAGGUUCAUAAAUUGGAAGUCAGUGUUGAGGCCACUGUUCAAGAAGGCGCUAUUAGGCGCUCGCCUAGGCGCGCUUAAGCGCUGGGCGUUGGCAUAGCGCCUCGCUUUGGCCCUAGGCGCUCAAAAAAGCGGCCGGCGAGGUCCUCCGGCGAGAAAUCAGCCUCUCCGGCGAGGAAUAGCUUUCUGAGGUGAGAAAUCAGUCUCCCCGGCGAGGAUUCGACCUCCCCUGCGAGGAUUCAUCCUCGCCGACGAGGGAUUCAACUGCCCCGACGACAAAUCGAGCUUCUCCGGCGAGGGAUUGAGCUUCUCCGGCGAGGGAUCGAGCUUCUCCGACAAGGGACAGAGGAAGAGGGAGGGAGGCAGCCUCGUGCAACGAGACAGAAAGGACGAGGGGGGGAGGCGGCGUGAGGAGGAAACCUAAAUUUCCUAUCGACUGCAGCAGACGAGAGCUUUUAGUAGGAGGAUAUGAAGAUGGGCCUAUGGUUUAGUGGGCUAGCCCAGCCCAUCUAGCUUAUUUCUUCACGUUACAGUACUAACGCCUAAUUGCGCCUAAUUUCGCCUAAUCAUGCCUAAGCUAGAAAAGCGCAAGUAGGUGCCCAAACGCAUAAUUAGCGCCUAGCGCUUUUUUGAACUUUGGUUGAGGCACCAUAUCUCCUUUUGUUUUCUUUCUUCUCUUCACAUGUUUCUAUUCCACACACAAGGGAGUUGUCCUAUCUGCUAGCUCAUCUCAAAGUUUGCUCAAGUGUAGGGUAGAUGGGAAAGAUAUUUGCCGAGUAGCUUUGUUUGCCCAACAGUGUAUUUUUGUACUGUUUGGUUUUCUUGUAACAAAUUGUGUGAGACUCCUACACUGUUUAUGCAAAGAUUUGCUCCGUAGCUUUGCUCUUAUCCAGAGCGGCAUUUCAGUGCCCGGGCAAAAUAAAAAAAUUCAUAAAAAAUAGGAAAAAAUUAAAAAAUUCUGAUUCUUUCUUCUGCAAGCAAGAUGCUUGUGUGUGUGAUGUUUAUGCAAAAUUUGGUGAAGUUUCGACAUUUGAGGAGCGCGCGACAAAAAAGACAAAAUUCGGCUCUGUGAGUAAGGUUACUGUUCACGCACUGUUUUGUCCGGUUUUCUCUUUUUGCCACGAGCUCCACAAAUGUCCAAACAGGAUAAAAUUUUGCACGCACAUCCUGCACUCAAACAUCUUCGAAGCAAAAAAAAUGAUUUUUAAAAAGGAUGAAAGGAGGCAAGGCGAUGGGCCCUGAUUGUAUCCCCAUUGAGGUGUGGAAAGGUCUCGGGGACAUAGCGAUAGUAUGGCUAACCAAGCUUUUCAACCUCAUUUUUCGGGCAAACAAGAUGCCAGAAGAAUGGAGACGGAGUAUAUUAGUACCAAUCUUCAAGAACAAGGGGGAUGUUCAGAGUUGUACUAAUUACCGUGGAAUUAAGCUGAUGAGCCAUACAAUGAAGCUAUGGGAGAGAGUCAUUGAGCACCGCUUAAGAAGAAUGACAAGCGUGACCAAAAAUCAGUUUGGUUUCAUGCCUGGGAGGUCGACCAUGGAAGCCAUUUUCUUGGUACGACAACUUAUGGAGAGAUGUAGGGAGCAUAAGAAGGACUUGCAUAUGGUGUUCAUUGACUUGGAGAAGGCCUAUGAUAAGAUACCGCGGAAUGUCAUGUGGUGGGCCUUGGAGAAACACAAAGUCCCAGCAAAGUACAUUACCCUCAUCAAGGACAUGUACAAUAAUGUUGUGACAAGUGUUCGAACAAGUGAUGUCGACACCGAUGACUUCCCGAUUAAGAUAGGACUGCAUCAGGGGUCAGCUUUGAGCCCUUAUCUUUUUGCAUUGGUGAUGGAUGAGGUCACAAGGGGUAUACAAGGAGAUAUCCCAUGGUGUAUGCUCUUUGCGGAUGAUGUGGUGCUAGUUGACGAUAGUCGGACGGGGGUAAAUAGGAAGUUAGAGUUAUGGAGACAAACCUUGGAAUCGAAAGGGUUUAGGCUUAGUAGAACUAAAACCGAGUACAUGAUGUGCGGUUUCAGUACUACUAGCUGUGAGGAGGAGGAGGUUAGCCUUGAUGGCCAGGUGGUACCUCGGAAGGACACCUUUCGGUAUUUGGGGUCAAUGUUGCAGGAGGAUGGGGGUAUUGAUGAAGAUGUGAACCAUCGAAUCAAAGCCGGAUGGAUGAAGUGGCGCCAAGCUUCUGGCAUUCUCUGUGACAAGAGAGUGCCACAAAAGGUAAAAGGCAAGUUCUACAGGACGGCGGUUCGACCCGCAAUGUUGUAUGGCGCGGAGUGUUGGCCGACUAAAAGGCGGCAUGUUCAACAGUUAGGUGUGGCGGAGAUGCGUAUGUUGAGAUGGAUGUGUGGCCACACGAGGAAGGAUCGAGUCCGGAAUGAUGAUAUACGAGAUAGAGUUGGGGUAGCACCAAUUGAGGAGAAGCUUGUCCAACAUCGUUUGAGAUGGUUUGGGCAUAUUCAGCGCAGGCCUCCAGAAGCUCCAGUGCAUAGCGGACGGCUAAAGCGUGCGGAGAAUGUCAAGAGAGGGCGGGGUCGACCGAUUUUGACAUGGGAGGAGUCCGUUAAGAGAGACCUGAAGGAUUGGAGUAUCGACAAAGAGCUAGCUAUGGACAGGGGUGCGUGGAAGCUUGCUAUCCAUGUGCCAGAGCCAUGAGUUGGUUGCGAGAUCUUAUGGGUUUCACCUCUAGCCUACCCCAACUUGUUUGGGACUAAAGGCUUUGUUGUUGUUGUUGUUGUUGUUUUUUUGUCAUGUUACUGUUCACUGGGUUAAUCUAGACCUGGGCACCGAAUUGGAUUUUCGUGCUCUUAUAUGCUUAUAAGCUACAGUAUCAUUAUAUCUGUCAAAUUGUCUCCAUGAUGAUUUCCUUAGUCGUUUGUUUUAGAGUUCGGUUUUGUGACACCCUAAACAAGGUGAUGACUAGAUGUAUAAUUUCUCAAUGUGUGGCUUAAGAUCACAUAGCGCAGCUCGAAGGACAAGUAUCGGUCGCCAUCUUUUAUCCCUUGUACCAAUAAUUCUUGUUUGUGAAAUGUGGAUAAAAAAUCAAAUUUAUUUUUAGAAUAUAUUUGUGUAAUGAAUUUUGCAUUGCAUUUAUUUACAACAAACCUUUAAAACAAGUUGCAUUUGGCCUGACUACUACAUAUGUAGCUAUGCCAAGUCAUUGCUCAAUUGAAGGUGGAGAAUGAAUAAAAUCCCAUUUAGAAGCUUACGUGAAUGCCUUUUUCUUAUUUAUGUCAAAAUAACAUCCACGUUUUAGUCUUACCAAACUGCUAGUUAUAAGAUACAUCUGUUUUAGUUAUUUCUAUCAAAAUUAGGUAUUUGAACCUAAAACAUACAAUGCCAUGGCAUAUUUGGUUAUUUGUUCCUCAGUAAGGACCUUCCUUCAGUUAUAGCUUCCAGUGGCCUCUUUCAGAUUUUGUGCGAAGUUGCUUUUUAUCCUAAGGUUUCAGUAUUUUUCCUGUGAAUGACUGCCAUUUAUCUCCGCAUCAGUGUAGUUGUUUGUUUCAGAUAUACUCUCAGUUUGCCAGCUAUUAGCACACAAGUCUUUGGGCCCAUGACUUUUUUUGUUCUAGAAGAUAUGCGACUGGUUCUUGUCCUGCAUCGAACAUAGUCUCUCUUAAGACAAUAAGAGUACCACUGCAUAAUUCCUAAUUUUCUAUGAAUUUAGUAAAAUCAUCAAAGUGAGACCAGCUAAUGGUAGUGCAGUAUCUGAUCCGACAAUUACAUGUUAGGUUAUAGUAAAAUGAUGACAAUUACAUAUGUGCGUAUUUAACAUACAUAUAAUUGUAUUGCCAUUUCUCCUGCAGAGUAUUACUGUUGCCACCUUAUCCAUAUAACUACUAUUUUCCUUGUUCUCGCAGAUUCUACUUUGCACCGGGUGAGUACAUCUACCGGACCCGGAGUUCUGCUUUCCAUCCAAGAGCAACUUUCAACUGCACACCUCUCUCUGUGACGGACGCCAGCAUUGGCUGUCCUCUUGCUCUCUCCGGCAAUGCUCAGGGCAAGCUUGCUUGGACUUCCCAGCCAAGCCAACUUCUGAAGCCAUGUCCUAUUAGUUAGGUGACUUUAUUGCUUGCUGCUCCCAAACUGUUCAUGUUCCACCUAUCAUAUCUUAUUUAUUAAGAUAAUGAACCAUCCAGUUCAUCUAAGUUUUAAAUUGGUUUGUUUGGCAGGGAAGGGCAAUAUGGAACUACCAGGCCAAGUAUCAGGGACCAUGAAGUUUGACUAUCGUUUUACUUUGCCUAUUUUCUGUUAACAAGGUGUUUCUCUGGCUCAAGUCAAUCCCUUUUUUAUUUGCUACUGUUGGAGUGAGAAAUUGUUGUGCUUGACUGCAACUUGUCCCAUGAGAUUGCUGUUGAGAUCCUUAUUCUCACACUUGUAUUAUUAUGGAUACAGUUUUAAUUUUGUCUGCAAAGUACUGUGGUAAGUAUCAUUAUCUUAUGUCAUGUACUCCCUCCGUUCACUUUUGUUAGUCGUUUUAGACAACUCAAAAUGGAUUGUUUUGCACAUUGUCUUUAAUGUCUCCA